rnacentral:rRNA from 1 species
UACGUAGGGUGCAAGCGUUAUCCGGAAUUAUUGGGCGUAAAGAGCCCGUAGGCGGUUUGUCGCGUCUGCUGUGAAAACUGGGGGCUCAACCCCCAGCCUGCAGUGGAUACGGGCAGACUAGAGUUCGGUAGGGGAGACUGGAAUUCCUGGUGUAGCGGUGAAAUGCGCAGAUAUCAGGAGGAACACCGGUGGCGAAGGCGGGUCUCUGGGCCGAUACUGACGCUGAGGAGCGAAAGCGUGGGGAGCGAACAGG